rnacentral:rRNA from 1 species
GACGAACGCUGGCGGCGUGCUUAACACAUGCAUGUCGAACGGAAAGGCCCUGCUUUUGUGGGGUGCUCGAGUGGCGAACGGGUGAGUAACACGUGAGUAACCUGCCCUUGACUUUGGGAUAACUUCAGGAAACUGGGGCUAAUACCGGAUAGGAGCUCCUGCUGCAUGGUGGGGGUUGGAAAGUUUCGGCGGUUGGGGAUGGACUCGCGGCUUAUCAGUUUGUUGGUGGGGUAGUGGCUUACCAAGGCUUUGACGGGUAGCCGGCCUGAGAGGGUGACCGGCCACGUUGGGACUGAGAUACGGCCCAGACUCCUACGGGAGGCAGCAGUGGGGAAUAUUGCACAAUGGGCGGAAGCCUGAUGCAGCAACGCCGCGUGCGGGAUGACGGCCUUCGGGUUGUAAACCGCUUUCGCCUGUGACGAAGCGUGAGUGACGGUAAUGGGUAAAGAAGCACCGGCUAACUACGUGCCAGCAGCCGCGGUGAUACGUAGGGUGCGAGCGUUGUCCGGAUUUAUUGGGCGUAAAGGGCUCGUAGGUGGUUGAUCGCGUCGGAAGUGUAAUCUUGGGGCUUAACCCUGAGCGUGCUUUCGAUACGGGUUGACUUGAGGAAGGUAGGGGAGAAUGGAAUUCCUGGUGGAGCGGUGGAAUGCGCAGAUAUCAGGAGGAACACCAGUGGCGAAGGCGGUUCUCUGGGCCUUUCCUGACGCUGAGGAGCGAGAGCGUGGGGAGCGAACAGGCUUAGAUACCCUGGUAGUCCACGCUGUAAACGGUGGGUACUAGGUGUGGGGUCCAUUCCACGGGUUCCGUGCCGUAGCUAACGCUUUAAGUACCCCGCCUGGGGAGUACGGCCGCAAGGCUAAAACUCAAAGGAAUUGACGGGGCCCCGCACAAGCGGCGGAGCAUGCGGAUUAAUUCGAUGCAACGCGUAGAACCUUACCUGGGUUUGACAUGGAUCGGGAGUGCUCAGAGAUGGGUGUGCCUCUUUUGGGGUCGGUUCACAGGUGGUGCAUGCCUGUCGUCAGCUCGUGUCGUGAGAUGUUGGGUUAAGUCCCGCAACGAGCGCAACCCUUGUUCACUGUUGCCAGCACGUUAUGGUGGGGACUCAGUGGAGACCGCCGGGGUCAACUCGGAGGAAGGUGGGGAUGACGUCAAGUCAUCAUGCCCCUUAUGUCCAGGGCUUCACGCAUGCUACAAUGGCUGGUACAGAGAGUGGCGAGCCUGUGAGGGUGAGCGAAUCUCGGAAAGCCGGUCUCAGUUCGGAUUGGGGUCUGCAACUCGACCUCAUGAAGUCGGAGUCGCUAGUAAUCGCAGAUCAGCAACGCUGCGGUGAAUACGUUCCCGGGGCU